rnacentral:snoRNA from 1 species
CAGUGUGGGUGUCCCAUUGUGUCACUGCCCUGGGAUCUGUUCAUGUGGCACUGGGAGUAUAUGGUUUCAGGAAGUUCCUUCCCACAAGGUUAGAGACAAAAUGAUGUUUGUGUCUUUAGCUAUAUGAUCCUGCAACUUCUCAGACCCCUGGCAAUGCUGAGCUAGAGGAUGGACUAGGCAGGAAACACUC